rnacentral:lncRNA from 1 species
AAAUAAUAAUAAUAAUAAUUUCAAUAACUAAUUCUUCGGUUGACACUAGUUGAUUGUUGAUUAUUGAUCUCAGUAGUGCACUUUACGUAGUCGUGUUACCGUGUAUGCAAUUGCGUAGUGGUCGCGUUACUGCCUCUAGUUCUAGUAACCUUACCAUGGACCCCGCCCAAAUUGAGGCCCUCACCAGACAGCUUGCACAAUUACAAAAUCAACUAAUAGCUGUCCAAACUGAGGUAGCCGCUACUCGUGAAGAGAAUAGAGCCCUAACCGCUAGGUUGAAUACUCUUGACCCAAUCCCAUAUUCGACUGAGGCUGAGAACCCUGAGGCUUCCAUUAAUAGGCCUCAUCGUCGCCCACAAGGUGGUCGACACCACGCCCGACAUGGUCGUAGGGAAGGGAAUCAGGCUCGGGAACGAGAGCGGGGGUAUUACCGUCAUGGUACACAAUCUCCCCCUCGCCACGAGGAGCGCCUCUUUCGAAACAUUAAGUUGGAUGCCCCUACGUUUGACGGUUGUCUAGAUCCUAGUGCAUUCAAUCAAUGGGUUAGAGAUAUGGAUCGCUUCUUUGCAUGGUAUGGGGUUCCGGAAGAUCGGAGGGUACAAUUUGCCAGUUUAAAGUUAACUGGCACUGCUCAACUCUUUUGGGAGAGUGUUGAGGACCUCCUUGAAAGGCGUCAUGCUCCCCCUGUUGGGAGUUGGGAUGAAAUGAAGCGCCGCCUUCAAGAAAAAUAUUUACCCCAAUCUUAUAGGGGUAACUUGCUGGAUCAAUGGAACGCACUUACACAAGGCAAUCGACCUGUAACCGAAUAUGUCGCUCAGUUUGAUGAGUUUCGAAUGAAAUGUCAGGUUGUUGAGGAUGAAGUUAUGACUUUGAGUAGGUUUAGGCAAGGUUUAAGAGACGAACUUAGGCGCGAGCUUGUCCUUAGGGGUGUCACCACUCUCGACCACGCCUACUCUUUCGUUCGGGAUUAUGAAUUAGUGACUAGGACACCGUAUAGAAAUCGUAGUGACUCCCGCACCACAACCUCAUCCGCAUCCACGCCGUCCCCUAAGUCUAUUUUAGGUCCUCCUCCCUCUAAUACUACCCCUGCAUCGGAUAGCAAAGGUAGAGGUUCUGAGGUUUCAAGGUCAUCCUCCCGUUUGCAAUGUUUCAACUGUAAGGGUUUUGGUCACAUUGCUUCUAAGUGCCCCAGUCGAGCCCUAGUUCUGGACGAACGUGAGGAUAUAGUCGUCGAACCACUAGAGGAUCAGGUUUAUGAGCCUAAGUUAGAAGAGUUUGAAGACUUGGAGGACAGUGAGGAUACCUUCUUAGGUUGUAUUCAGGCUAGUCCCAUUAUCCCACAUACACCCAGAGUCGGUGUCGUCCGUUGCACCUUCACCCAGCCUAAGGAUGCCGACGAUUGACGCCGUCAU